UACAGAGGUCUCAAGCGUUGUUCGGAUUCAUUGGGCGUAAAGGGUGUGUAGGUGGCGCCGUAAGUCGGGUGUGAAAUUUCGGAGCUUAACUCCGAAACUGCAUUCGAUACUGCGGUGCUUGAGGACUGGAGAGGAGACUGGAAUUCAUGGUGUAGCAGUGAAAUGCGUAGAGAUCAUGAGGAAGACCAGUGGCGAAGGCGGGUCUCUGGGCAAUACCUGACACUGAGACGCGAAAGCGUGGGGAGCAAACGGG
rnacentral:rRNA from 1 species